UAGUCGAUCGCGCUUAGCGGAAAGAGAAAAAAGCUUGCUCUCUGGGUCGUCUCGCGAGUGGCGGACGGGUGAGGAAUACAUCGGAAUCUACUCUGUCCGUGGGGGAUAACGUAGGGAAACUUACGCUAAUACCGCAUACGACCUACGGGUGAAAGCAGGGGACCUUCGGGCCUUGCGCGAUUGAAUGAGCCGAUGUCGGAUUAGCUAGUUGGCGGGGUAAAGGCCCACCAAGGCGACGAUCCGUAGCUGGUCUGAGAGGAUGAUCAGCCACACUGGAACUGAGACACGGUCCCACUCCUACGGGAGGCAGCAGUGGGGAAUUUUGGACAAGGGGGGCAAGCCUGAUCCACCAUCCCGCGUGGGGGAAAAAGGCCUCCGGGUUGUAAAGCCCUUUUGUUGGGAAAAAAUCAGCUGGCUAAUACCCGGUUGGGAUGACGGGUCCCAAAGAAUAAGCACCGGCUAACUUCGUGCCACAGCCGCGGUAAUACA
rnacentral:rRNA from 1 species